AACCGCGGUUAUACGAGUUGGCUCAAAUUGAUAUCGUCGGCGUAAAGGGUGACUAGAAAAUACUAAACUAAAGCCGAACCCCUCCCUGGCUGUUUUACGCUACAGGAGAAGGGAAGUCCAACAACGAAAGUGGCUUUAAUAUUUUUGACCUCACGACAGUUAGGGCA
rnacentral:rRNA from 1 species